UAAAUAAAGGGUGAUUUUUUAAGAGCUUGAUAACUUUUUUUUAAAAAAAAAACGCAUAAAAUUUGCAAAAUCUCAUCGGUUCUUUAUUUGAAACGUUAGAUUGGUUCAUGACAUUUACUUUUUGAAGAUAAUUUCAUUUAAAUGUUGACCGCGGCUGCGUCUUAGGUGGUCCAUUCGGAAAGUCCAAUUUUGGGCAACUUUUUCGAGCAUUUCGGCCGGAAUAGCCCGAAUUUCUUCGGAAAUGUUGUCUUCCAAAGCUGGAAUAGUUGCUGGCUUAUUUCUGUAGACUUUAGACUUGACGUAGCCCCACAAAAAAUAGUCUAAAGGCGUUAAAUCGCAUGAUCUUGGUGGCCAACUUACGGGUCCAUUUCUUGAGAUGAAUUGUUGUCCGAAGUUUUCGCUCAAAAUGGCCAUAGAAUCGCGAGCUGUGUGGCAUGUAGCGCCAUCUUGUUGAAACCACAUGUCAACCAAGUUCAGUUCUUCCAUUUUUGGCAACAAAAAGUUUGUUAGCAUCGAACGAUAGCGAUCGCCAUUCACCGUAACGUUGCGUCCAACAGCAUCUUUGAAAAAAUACGGUCCAAUGAUUCCAGCGUACAAACCACACCAAACAGUGCAUUUUUCGGGAUGCAUGGGCAGUUCUUGAACGGCUUCUGGUUGCUCUUCACCCCAAAUGCGGCAAUUUUGCUUAUUUACGUAGCCAUUCAACCAGAAAUGAGCCUCAUCGCUGAACUAAAUUUGUCGAUAAAAACACAUUUCGA